AACUAACAAGGAUUCCCCUAUAACGGCGAGUGAAGCGGGAAGAGCUCAAAUUUGUAAUCUGGCGGUUUUCAAUCGUCCGAGUUGUAGUCUAGAGAAGUGUUUUCCAUGCUGAGACCGUGUACAAGUCCCUUGGAACAGGGCGUCAUAGAGGGUGAGAAUCCCGUCUUUGACACGGACUCCCAGUGCUAUGUGAUACACUCUCAAAGAGUCGAGUUGUUUGGGAAUGCAGCUCAAAAUGGGUGGUAAAUUCCAUCUAAAGCUUAAUAUUGGUGGAAGACCGAUAGCGAACAAGUACCGUGAGGGAAAGAUGAAAAGCACUUUGGAAAGAGAGUUAAACAGUACGUGAAAUUGUUGAAAGGGAAACGCUUGAAGUCAGUCGCGUCUUUCAAGAUUCAACUUGGCUUUGGGCCUUGGCUAUUUCCUGGGUGACGGGCCAGCAUCAAUUUUAACCAUGGUAAAGGUCUUGGAAAUGUGGCACCUCGGGUUGUGUUAUAGCCUUUUGAUGUAUGUAAUGAUUGGAUUGAGGACUGCAGCACGCCUUUAUGGCCGGGGUUCGCCCACGUACGUGCUUAGAAUGCUGGCGUAAUGGCUUUAAGCGACCCGUCUUGAAACACGGACCAAGGAGUCUAACAUGCCUGCGAGUGUUUGGGUGGAAAACCCUUGCGCGAAAUGAAAGUGAAAAGUUGGGAUUUCUGUCAUGGAAUGCACCAACGCCCGGACUUGAAGUUUACGGACGGUACCGAGGUAUAGCAUGUAUGUUGGGACCCGAAAGAUGGUGAACUAUGCCUGAGUAGGGUGAAGCCAGAGGAAACUCUGGUGGAGGCUCGUAGCGAUUCUGACGUGCAAAUCGAUCGUCGAACUUGGGUAUAGGGGCGAAAGACUAACGAACCAUC
rnacentral:rRNA from 1 species